CGUGGUGUAGCGGUGAAAUGCUUAGAUAUCACGAAGAACUCCGAUUGCGAAGGCAGCUCACUGGACUGCAACUGACACUGAUGCUCGAAAGUGUGGGUAUCAAACAGGAUUAGAUACCCUGGUAGUCCACACAGUAAACGAUGAAUACUCGCUGUUUGCGAUAUACAGUAAGCGGCCAAGCGAAAGCAUUAAGUAUUCCACCUGGGGAGUACGCCGGCAACGGUGAAACUCAAAGGAAUUGACGGGGGCCCGCACAAGCGGAGGAACAUGUGGUUUAAUUCGAUGAUACGCGAGGAACCUUACCCGGGCUUAAAUUGCAGUGGAAUGAUGUGGAAACAUGUCAGUGAGCAAUCACCGCUGUGAAGGUGCUGCAUGGUUGUCGUCAGCUCGUGCCGUGAGGUGUCGGCUUAAGUGCCAUAACGAGCGCAACCCUUAUCUUCAGUUACUAACAGGUCAUGCUGAGGACUCUGGAGAGACUGCCGUCGUAAGAUGUGAGGAAGGUGGGGAUGACGUCAAAUCAGCACGGCCCUUACGUCCGGGGCUACACACGUGUUACAAUGGGGGGUACAGAAGGCAGCUAGCGGGUGACCGUAUGCUAAUCCCAAAAGCCUCUCUCAGUUCGGAUCGAAGUCUGCAACCCGACUUCGUGAAGCUGGAUUCGCUAGUAAUCGCGCAUCAGCCACGGCGCGGUGAAUACGUUCCCGGGCCUUGUACACACCGCCCGUCAAGCCAUGGGAGCCGGGGGUACCUGAAGUACGUAACCGCAAGGAUCGUCCUAGGGUAAAACUGGUGACUGGGGCUAAGUCGUAACAAGGUAGCCGUACCGGAAGGUGCGGCUG
rnacentral:rRNA from 1 species